rnacentral:rRNA from 1 species
GAUGAACGCUGGCGGCGUGCCUAAUACAUGCAAGUCGAGCGAACAGACGAGGAGCUUGCUCCUCUGACGUUAGCGGCGGACGGGUGAGUAACACGUGGAUAACCUACCUAUAAGACUGGGAUAACUUCGGGAAACCGGAGCUAAUACCGGAUAAUAUAUUGAACCGCAUGGUUCAAUAGUGAAAGACGGUUUUGCUGUCACUUAUAGAUGGAUCCGCGCCGCAUUAGCUAGUUGGUAAGGUAACGGCUUACCAAGGCGACGAUGCGUAGCCGACCUGAGAGGGUGGAUGGCCACACUGGAACUGAGACACGGUACCGACUCCUAAGGGAGGCAGCCGUAGGGAAUCUUCCGGAAUGGGCGAAAGCCUGACGGAGCAAAGCCGCGUGAGUGAUGAAGGUCUUCGGAUCGUAAAACUCUGUUAUUAGGGAAGAACAAAUGUGUAAGUAACUAUGCACGUCUUGACGGUACCUAAUCAGAAAGCCACGGCUAACUACGUG